UACGUAGGGAGCGAGCGUUGUCCGGAAUUACUGGGUGUAAAGGGAGCGUAGGCGGGGAUGCAAGUUGGGUGUCAAAGCUACCGGCUCAACUGGUAGUCGCACUCAAAACUGCAGCUCUUGAGUGAAGUAGAGGCAGGCGGAAUUCCUAGUGUAGCGGUGAAAUGCGUAGAUAUUAGGAGGAACACCAGUGGCGAAGGCGGCCUGCUGGGCUUUUACUGACGCUGAGGCUCGAAAGUGUGGGGAGCAAACAGG
rnacentral:rRNA from 1 species